UACGAGGGGGGCAAAUGUUGUUCGGAAUCACUGGGCGUAAAGGGAGCGUAGGCGGGUGUUUAAGUUAGGUGUUUAAUCCUGGGGCCCAACCCCAGUCGUGCACCUAAAACUGGACAUCUUGAAUAGGGGAGAGGUCAGUGGAAUUGGAGGUGUAGCGGUGGAAUGCGUAGAGAUCUCCAAGAACACCAGUUGCGAAGGCGGCUGACUGGACCCAUAUUGACGCUGAGGCUCGAAAGCUAGGGGAGCAAACGGG
rnacentral:rRNA from 1 species